GUUUACAAUGCAUAAAUGUUGACAUCUAAAAAGGCCUACUUUUCAAGAAGUAAACACGCUGGAAAAUACUUGUGUUUGAUAACAUCCGAAAGUACGUUUUCUAAGGAUUUCAAAUAUAUCUUUACUUUUGUGGCCCAACUUCGUGAAGCGAAUCUACAGCCAUGAAAACUCGACUGGGAAGCUUUAGAUUCGCUCCUGGAAUUUGGGCCAGGAUAAUAGACAUAUAGAACUCAAUGGUGGUAACUUCACAGUAGUGUUACCAGGACAACUCUGCGUAAAAUGUGUAGAAGAUGGGAUACCAGCAAAAAAAGCAGAAAUUAGAUGUCGUGAUUGCGGUCACGGACAGUUCUACUGUUUUGAGUGUGCGGAAUCCCUUCAUCGAACGAGGAAUGUUUUCCAUUUGGUUGAAGUAUGGAAGACUGAUUGUGAAAUGUUUGUUCCAUUACUUUAUGGUGGUAUAUUACGUGACAGUCAGCAUGGUAACUGUUCUUCAACAGAAUCACAUACUAUAAUAUGUGUGGAUGGAAAAGGUCAAAAACAUAUAUAAUGUGUUAAUCAAUGGAUCAUUCGAUAAAUACAGACUGGUGAGUUAGGUGUGACCAUUUAUUCCAUAGAUGCUUGCUUUGGUCUAACUCGUAAAAAGUUGGCAGGGAAUAGUUUUGCCGUCCCAAACCAUGGCUGCCUUAAGUUUGCUAAUCAGGAUGAAGUAGAUGAUUUUGUUGAUCAUUAUAGCAAGUCUAAUAACAAAGUAGGAGAGAGUUGUCAGAUAUUUAAGGCAGGAAAAGUUACAGAAGAACUUCACUCCAAAGGAGAAAAUCAACUGUUUGAUGAAAAAGAAGUGUUUGGUAGCUACUUGUUGCAGUCGGCAUUCACACCCUGGACGGUUUUUCAGCACUAAAUAUGGGUAAAGAAUUUCGUAUUCGCUGUUCCUAAUCCAAAAAAUUUUAAAAGAUGCUGACCAAAGUCCUGGUGUUGAUUUAAAAAUAAUGUAUGAUAUUGGAUGUGUAUUAUCAUCAUAUUUAAAGGCAAACAAGAGGCAUGACAUAUUGUCAAAAGUGUCAAUUUUCAUGCCGAUAUUUCAUUGUUAUGGACACAAGGCUUCAUGCCAGGUAAUGAAUAAAGCUUUGUACCUGGUAAUGACAGGGAUGGAUUAAGAGGCGGGAUA